AUGGUUCUUGGAGCGUUGAUUAGUCCAGCUUUAGUGCAAUGGAGCUUCCUGCUAUGCGGCAGCCUGGGCUUUGUGCUUCUCUGGCAAGCUGCCAAGCUAAUAGACCGGCUGUGGUGGCACCCGCGGCGGCUGGAGCGGGCACUGCGCGCCCAGGGUCUCCAUGGCACCUCGUACCGCUUCCUCGUCGGCGACGUCGUUGACUAUGAGCGGCGGAGCAAGGCGGCGCCCUCAAGGUCGAUGCCGCUGCGCUGCCACAACAUAGCCCCUCUCGUCGCGCCGCUGCUCCACGACAUUGUCCGGGAGCACGGCAAGGCGUGUAUAUCCUGGUUUGGUCCGUACCCUAAGGUGACCAUCAGCGACCCUGAUCUGACCAAGGAGGUGAUGUCCAACAAGUUCGGCCACUUCGAGAAGCUCAAGUUUCCGGCGCUGUCCAGGCUGCUCGCCGGAGGCGUGGCGACGUACGAGGGCGAGCAAUGGGUCAAGCACAAGAGGAUCCUCAACCCUGCAUUCCAUCUCGAGAAGCUCAAGCUCAUGAUGCCAGCGUUUUCUACUUGCUGCCAAGAACUUGUGAGCAGAUGGACGCUAUCUCUUGGUUCUGAUGGUACAUAUGAGGUGGAUGCCUGUCCAGAGUUCCAAAGACUCAGCGGAGAUGUCAUUUCUCGCACCGCGUUUGGCAGUAACUACGCUGAAGGUGCCAGGAUUUUCCAGUUGCAGUCCGUGCAAACUCCACGCCUCCUGGCCAGGGUUAAGAAGAUUAUCAUUCCCGGCUACUUGUCCUUGCCAACCAAAAACAAUAGAAGGAUGAGUGAAAUUAAUAAUGAAAUUGAAUCAAUUCUGCUCAAUCUAAUCAGAAAAAGAAUGCAAGCUAUGCAAGAAGGAGAAAAUACCAAAAAUGACUUGCUCGGUUUGAUGCUUGAGUCCAACAUGAGGGGCACAGAUGAGAAUGGCCAAUGCAUCUCAGGAAUGACGAUUGAUGAGGUCGUGGAGGAAUGCAAGUUGUUCUAUUUUGCAGGAACAGAAACAACAUCAAUAUUACUCACAUGGACAAUGGUCAUACUAAGUAUGCAUCCCGAGUGGCAAGAUCGUGCAAGGGAGGAGGUCCUUGGCCUAUUUGGAAAGAAUAAAAUUGAGCACGAAGGCUUUGCCCGACUAAAAACGGUGACCAUGAUUCUUUACGAGGUGCUCUGA
rnacentral:rRNA from 1 species